rnacentral:rRNA from 1 species
CCCUUAGAUGUUCUGGGCCGCACGCGCGCUACACUGACAAAGGCAACGAGCUACUCUUCACCGAAAGGUGUGGGUAAUCUUUUGAAACUUUGUCGUGCUGGGGAUAGAUCCUUGCAAUUUUUGAUCUUAAACGAGGAAUUCCUAGUAAGCGCAAGUCAUCAACUUGCGUUGAUUACGUCCCUGCCCUUUGUACACACCGCCCGUCGCUACUACCGAUUGAAUGGUUUAGUGAGGCCUUCGGAUCCGCGACUCGUUUGUGGAGAAGUUGGACAAACUCAGUCAUUUAGAGGAAGUAAAAGUCGUAACA